rnacentral:rRNA from 1 species
CCCUUAGAUGUUCUGGGCCGCACGCGCGCUACACUGUUCGACGCAGCGAGUCUUAACCUUGACCGAAAGGUUUGGGUAAUCUUCAGCAAAGUCGAACGUGAUGGGGAUCGAUCAUUGCAAUUAUUGAUCGAGAACGAGGAAUUCCUAGUAAGUGCAAGUCAUCAGCUUGCGCUGAUUACGUCCCUGCCCUUUGUACACACCGCCCGUCGCUACUACCGAUUGAAUGGUUUAGUGAGAUCUCUGGAUUGACGCUGGCUAGGGGGCGACCCUUGGCCAGACUGUUGAGAAACUGCUCAAACUUGAUCAUUUAGAGGAAGUAAAAGUCGUAACA